AUUGAACGCUGGCGGCAGGCUUAACACAUGCAAGUCGAGCGGGGGAAGGUAGCUUGCUACCGGACCUAGCGGCGGACGGGUGAGUAAUGCUUAGGAAUCUGCCUAUUAGUGGGGGACAACAUCUCGAAAGGGAUGCUAAUACCGCAUACGUCCUAUGGGAGAAAGCAGGGGAUCUUCGGACCUUGCGCUAAUAGAUGAGCCUAAGUCGGAUUAGCUAGUUGGUGGGGUAAAGGCCUACCAAGGCGACGAUCUGUAGCGGGUCUGAGAGGAUGAUCCGCCACACUGGGACUGAGACACGGCCCAGACUCCUACGGGAGGCAGCAGUGGGGAAUAUUGGACAAUGGGGGGAGCCCUGAUCCAGCCAUGCCGCGUGUGUGAAGAAGGCCUUAUGGUUGUAAAGCACUUUAAGCGAGGAGGAGGCUACUUUAGUUAAUACCUAGAGAUAGUGGACGUUACUCGCAGAAUAAGCACCGGCUAACUCUGUGCCAGCCGCCGCAGUAA
rnacentral:rRNA from 1 species